UCCGGCUUGUCACCGGCAGUUCCUUCGGAGGGCCCAGCUUUACCUGAUGGCAACUGAAGGCGAGGGUUGCGCUCGUUGCGGGACUUAACCCAACAUCUCACGACACGAGCUGACGACAGCCAUGCAGCACCUGUGUUACGGCUCCCUUUCGGGCACCCCUCCAUCUCUGGAGGGUUCCGUACAUGUCAAGGGUAGGUAAGGUUUUUCGCGUUGCAUCGAAUUAAUCCACAUGCUCCGCCGCUUGUGCGGGCCCCCGUCAAUUCCUUUGAGUUUCAGUCUUGCGACCGUACUCCCCAGGCGGAGUGCUUAAUGUGUUGACGUCGGCACAGCAGGGGUCGAUACCCGCUACACCAAGCACUCAUCGUUUACGGCGUGGACUAC
rnacentral:misc_RNA from 1 species